UAAGCCCUGAAAAUCUGUCCAAAGAGGAUGAGUUUUGCUAGAAUGGGCUUCCCUGGUGGCACAGUGGUUAAGAAUCUACCUGCCAAUGCAGAGGACACAGGUUUGAGCCCUGGUCCAGGAAGAUCCCACACACCGCAGAGCAACUAAGCCCACGCACCACAAGUACCGAGCCUCUGCUCUAGAGCCUGUGAGCCACAACUACUGAGCCCACACAACACAACUACUGAAGCCCGUGUGCCUACAGCCUGUGCUCUGCAACAAGAGAAGCCAUCACAAUGAGAAGCCCGCACACUGCAACGAAGAGUACCCCCUGCUCACCGUGACUACAGAAAGCCCAUGCAUAGCAACGAAGACCCAACACAGCCAAAAAGGAUCUGGGAAGAUGGUGGAAGAGUAAGAGGCGGAGAUCACCUUCCUCCCCACAGAUACAUCAGAAAUACAUCUACACGUGGAACAACUCCUACAGAACACCCACUGAACACUGGCAGAAGACCUCAGACCUCCCAAAAGGCAAGAAACUCCCCACGUACCUGGGUAGAGCAAAAGAAAAAAGAAUAAACAGAGACAAAAGAAUAGGGACGGGACCUGCACCAGUGGGAGGGAGCUGUGAAGGAGGAAAGGUUUCCACACACUAGAAGCCCCUUCAAGGGCGGAGAUGGUGGGGGGCGGAGGGGGGAAACUUCGGAGCUGCAGGGAGAGUGCAGCAAUAGGGGUGCAGAGGGCAAAGCGGAGAGAUUCCUGCACAGAAGAUCGGUGCUGACCAGCACUCACCAGCCCAAGAGGCUUGUCUGCUCACCCGCCGGGACAGGCGGGGGCUGGGAGCUAAGGCUCAGGCUUUGGUUGGAUCCCAGGGAGAGGACUGGCAGUGUGAAAACAGCCUGAAGGGGUUAGUGCACCACGGCUAGCCAGAAGGGAGUCCAGAAAAAGUCUGAACCUGCCGAAGAGGCAAGAGACUUUUUCUUCCCUCUGUUUCCUGGUGGGCGAGGAGAGGGGAUUAAGAGCGCUGCUUAAAGGAGCUCCAAAGACGGGCAUGAGCUGCGUCUAUCAAUCAGCGUGGACCCAAGAGACAGGCAGGAGAUGCUAAGGCCGCUGCUGCCACCAUCAAGAAGCCUGUAUGCGAGCACAGGUCACUCUCCACACCUCCCCUCCCAGGAGCCUGUGCAGCCCACACUGCCAGGGUCCCGGGAUCCAGGGACAACUUCCCCAGGAGAAUGCACGGUGCGCCUCAGGCUGGUGCAAUGUGUGCUGGCCUCUGCUGCUGCAGGCUCGCCCUGCAAUCCGUGCCCCUCCCUCCCCAGGCCUGAGUGAGCCAGAGCCCCCGAAUCAGCUGCUCCUUUAACCCCAUCCUGUCUGAGCGAAGAACAGACACCCUCUGGCGACCUAUACGCAGAGGCGGGGCCAAAUCCAAAGCUGAACCCCGGGAGCUGUGCAAACAAAGAAGAGAAAGGGAAAUUUCUCCCAGCAGCCUCAGGAGCAGCGGAUUAAAUCUCCACAAUCAACUUGAUGUACCCUGCAUCAGUGGAAUACCUGAAUAGACAACGAAUCAUCCAAAAUUGAGGUGGACUUUGAGAGCAAGAUAUAUUAUUUUUUCCCCUUUUCCUCUUUUUGUGAGUGUGUAUGUGUAUGCUUCUGUGUGAGAUUUCGUCUGUAUACCUUUGCUUUCACCAUUUGUCCCAGGGUUCUGUCAUCCGUUUUUUGUUGGCUUUUUUUAACUUAAAAACAUUUAUUUUCUCUCUCUCUCUCUACGUUUUCUCCCUUUUAUUCUGAGCCAUGUGGAUGAAAGGCUCUUGGUGCUGCAGCCAGGAGUCAGUGCUGUGCCUCUGAGGUGGGAGAGCCAACUUCUGAACACUGGUCCACAAGAGAAAUCCCAGCUCCAUGUAAUAUCAAAUGGUGAAAAUCUCCCAGAGAUCUCCAUCUCAACACUAAAACCCAGCUUCACUCAACGACCAGCAAGCUACAGUGCUGGACACCCUAUGCCAAACAACUAGCAAGACAGGAACACAACCGCACCCAUUAGCAGAGAGGCUGCCUAAAAUCAUAAUAAGGCCAGAGACACCCCAAAACACACCACCAGACGUGGACCUGCCCACCAGAAAGACAAGAUCCAGCCUCAUCCACCAGAACACAGGCACUAGUAUCCUCCACCAGGAAGCCUACACAACCCACUGAACCAACUUUAGCCACUGGGGACAGACACCAAAAACAACGGGAACUACAAACCUGCAGACUGCAAAAAGGAGACCCCAAACACAGUAAGAUAAGCAAAAUGAAAAGAGAAAAACACACAGCAGAUGAAGAAGCAAGGUAAAAACCCACCUGACCAGACAAAUGAAGAGGAAAUAGGCAGUCUACCUGAAAAAAAGAAUCCAGAAUAUUGACAGUAAAGAUGAUCCAGAAUCUUGGAAAACAGAAUAGACAAAAUGCAAGAAACAUUUAACAAGGACCUAGAAGAACUAAAGAGGAAGCAAGCAAUGAUGAACAACACAAUAAAUGAAAUUAAAAAUACUCUAGAUGGCAUCAAUAGAAGAAUAACUGAGGCAGAAGAACGGAUAAGUGACCUGGAAAAUAAAACAGUGGAAAUAACUACUGCACAGGAGAAUAAAGAAAAAAGAAUGAAAAGAACUGAGGACAGUCUCAGAGACCUCUGGGACAUUUAACGCACCAACAUUCGAAUUAUAGGGGUCCCAGAAGAAGAAGAGAAAAAGAAAGGGACUGAGACAAUAUUUGAAGACAUAAUAGUUGAAAACUUCCCUAAUAUGGGAAAGGAACUAGUUAAUCAAGUGCAGGAAGCACAGAGAGUCCCAUACAGGAAAAAUCCAAGGAGAAACACGCCAAGACACAUAUUAAUCAAACUGUCAAAAAUUUAAUACAAAGAAAACACAUUAAAGGCAGCAAGGGAAAAACAACAAAUAACACACAAGGGAAUACCCAUAAGGUUAAUAGCUGAUCUUGCAGCAAGAACUCUGCAAGCCAGAAGGGAGUGGAAGGACAUAUUUAAAGUGAUGAAGGAGAAAAACCUACAACCAAGAUUACUCUACCCAGCAAGGAUCUCAUUCAGAUUUGAUGGAGAACUUAAAACCUUUACAGAUAAGCAAAAGCUGAGAGUUCAGCACCACCAAAUCAGCUUUACAAAUGCUAAAGGAACUUCUCUAGGCAAGAAACACAAGAGAAGGAAAAGACCUACAAGAACAAACCCAAAACAAUUACGUAAAUCGUAAUAGGAACAUACGUAUCGAUAAUUACCUUAAAUAUAAAUGGAUUAAAUGUUCCCACCAAAAGACACAGACUGGCUGAAUGGAUACAAAAACAAGACCCAUAUAUAUGCUGUCUACAAGAGACCCACUUCACACCUAAGGACACAUACAGACUGAAAGUGAGGGGAUGGAAAAAGAUAUUCCAUGCAAAUGGAAAUCAGAAGAAAGCUGGAGUAGCAAUUCUCAUAUCAGACAAAAUAGACUUCAAAAUAAAAACUAUUACAAGAGACAAAGAAGGACACUAUAUAAUGAUCAAGGGAUCGAUCCAUGAAGAAGAUAUAACAAUUGUAAAUAUUUAUGCACCCAACAUAGGAGCACCUCAAUACAUAAGGCAAAUACGAACAGCCAUAAAAGGGGAAAUUGACAGUAACACAAUCAUAGCAGGGGAUUUUAACACCCCACUUUCACCAAUGGACAGAUCAUCCAAAAUGAAAAUAAAUAAGGAAACACAAGCUUUAAAUGAUACAUUAUACAAGAUGGACUUAACUGAUAUUUAUAGGACAUUCCAUCCAAAAACAACAGAAUACAGAUUUUUCGCAAGUGCUCAUGGAACAUUCUCCAGGAUAGAUCAUAUCUUGGUUCACAAAUCAAGCCUUGAAAAUUUAAGAAAACUGAAAUCGUUAUCAAGUAUCUUUUCCGACCACAAUGCUAUGAGACUAGAUGUCAAUUACAGGAAAAGAUCUUUAAAAAAUACAAACACAUGGAGGCUAAACAAUACACUACUUAAUAACGAAGUGAUCACUGAAGAAAUCAAAGAGGAAAUCAAAAAAUACUUAGAAACAAAUGACAAUGGAGACACGACGACCCAAAACCUAUGGGACACAG